rnacentral:lncRNA from 1 species
GUGAAUUUGCGUCAGACCUCGCGUUUGGAACAAGCAAGGCAAAGAGCGUAAGCUUUGGGAUCGGGCCGACCCGGGCUCAGGUGACGGCAGCCGUCCACUCGCCGUGUGCGCACCUGACCCCGAGGUGGAGGAGCCCGCGGUGCUGGGUGCCCGGGGAGCGGGUCCUCCUGGCGGAUGCACCGGGCCUGGCCGUGCGUGGCGUUCAUUAAAUGGCAGCCGCUGUCAUAAAUGCAAAAUCUUGUCCUCGUGUUUACUCUUCCUACUUUCCUAGAUGAAGCAGAUACCGAGAAGAAAAAGAGGAAGCUCUCAGGACAUUCUGAGGGUGGAGAACCGGAAAACCAUGGGGCUCCUGCAAAAGGUAUCGCCGCCAUCCUUUGGAGAGGUCUGCCCUUGAGGGUGUGGGGGGAGGAGGCGACCCGGGGCCUUCAGGCGGAUCAUCCCCCCCCCCCGGAGGCACGGGGAGGGCUGGACGCAGAUCCAGACACGGCGUGGCUCCAGAGGGGAGAAAGGAGCUGUGUGAGCCACUCCGCAGCGUCUGUCUAGCUCUAAGGGGAAGAUGGUCUGGACUGGAAACCCAUUCUCUUUGGAACUGCAGAUAAACCCAGCACGGCUUUCUGAGACCUUGUUCCCUUUCCCUGCUUCCCUCCCCCCUGCCCCUCAUUACUCUCCCAGAAGUACCCGCCACACUUAGCUGCCCCGCCCCCCACCUCCUCUUGUUCCCGGGGUCUCUGUCUCCCUGUCUCCCAGUGUGUCCCUGUCAGAAUCCAAUUCCUGGCCUUUAAAGGUCCCCUCAAACGCUGCCUCCUCCACAGAGCCGCCCCCACUUCCUCCGGCCUGAAGCAUUCCCUGGGGCCCUGCUGAUGCACAGCAGACUCGAGGACUCACCCGGGAGGGGAGGCUUUACUAAUGGGGGUUCAGUAACUGCCUGAGCUGGGUUACACCUCUUUGCCUGGAUCCCCCCCACUCCCAAAUUGGGCUGCAUGAGGCCUUUUUUUUUUUUUUAGUUUAAAUUGUUUGUUUUGAGAGGAUAGUAGAUUCCCAUGCAGUUGUAAGGAAUUAUAAUAGAGACCUAUGGAUCCACGCGCCCUUUGCCCAGCUUCCUGCUAGGGCCACAGCGGGCACAACUAUCCUGUCUCCACAGGGUGCUGACACUGACCCAGUCAGGAGACCGACGUUUCCGUCACCACUGGGAGCCCUCUGUGGGCCCUUUUUUAGCCAUGCCCUUACCCGCCACCCCACCUGCCCCCAACAAUCACUAAUCCGUUCACCGUUUCUGUGCUUCUGUAGUUUCAGAACGUUACCUAAAUGGCAUCAUCUAGUAUGUGAAUUCUUGAGAUUACCACUUUUCCCUCAGCAUUAUUCUCUGGAGAUGCAUCCAGGUGGCUGCAUGUGUUGGUAAUCCCGUCCCUCUGCUGUUUAGUAGCCCAUGGCGUGGACGUACCCCCGUUCGUCUGACCACUCCUCUCUUGAAGGCCCAGCCUCCACUUGCUAUAAACAAGCUGCUGUCAGCAUUUACGUACAGGUUUUCAUGUGAACGCACAUCACUUUGUGGAAGAAAUGUCCAGGAGUGCAGUUGCCGUGUGGUGUGGUGACUGUGUGUUUGGUUUUUAAAGAAACCGCCAACUUUUUCUAGAGUGGCCGUACCACUUUAUAAUCGCCCCGGCCGUGUGUGCCUCACCCAGUUUUCCCACAUGUCGGCCAGGGUCUGGUGGUGGUACUUUGUUGUUGUUGUUGUUUUUGUUAGCUAUCCUGAUAGGCGUGUGGUAAUAGCUCGGGUGAUUUUAAUUUGUUUAUCCCUAAUGAUGUUGAGUAUCUUUUCAUGUAUUAUUCGCCAUCUGUAGAUCUCUUGAUAUUGAAACGUCUGUUCACGUCUUUUGCUUAUUUUCAAGUUGGAUUUUCUUUUUUACUGUUAACUUUUGAGAGUUCUUUAUGUAUUCUAUUCUAAAUACUAAUCUUUUGUGGGAUGUGGGGUUUGCAAGGUUUUUUUUCCCCUUCAGUCUAUAGCUUUUUUAUCCUCUUGACAAUCUUUUAUAGAACAGAUUUUUUUCAUUUUGAUUUAGUUUAAUUUGUCCAUUUUCCCUUUAAUAGGUCAUGCUUUUGGUGCCAAAUCUGGGAACUCUUUGCUUAACCCUAGAUCCCCAAGAGUUUUUUUCCUGUGUUUUUUUUCUAAAUGUUUUACAGUUUAACAUUUUGCUCUUGAUCUUAAGCCCGUGAUCCAUUUUGAGUUGAUUUUUAUGUAACGAAUGAGACUUAGUACAAGGUUCAUUUUUUUGCCCAUCAGUGUGCUAUUAUUCCGGCACCGUUUGCUGAGAAGGCCCUCACUGGAUCACUUUUGUACCUUCGUCAGAAAUCAGUUGUGCGUAUUUGUGUAGUUCUGGGUUCUUGAUUCUGCUUCGUCUGCCUGUAUGUGUGCCCCCUACCAACACAGUCUCGAUCGCUUUAACUCUAUCUGAAGUCUUGAAACUGGGCAGGCUUUAUUCUUUGUCAGAAUUAAGUUUUAGAAUAAUCUUGUUGAGAUCUACAAAAACUCUUCCUGUGAUUAUAUAGAAUAUGUGUGAUUUUGUAGAUUUCCUUGGGAUUUUCUGCAGAGGUAAUCACGUCAUCUUCAAACAGGGGCAGUUUUAUUUCUUCCUCUCGGAUCCAUAGCACUGCUCUUCCCUUGCCUUGUCUUCCUGCAUUGGCAAGAAUUUCCAUCACAGUGUUGAGUAAAAGUGGUGAGAGCAGACAGCCUUGCUCUGUGCCUGAUCGAAAGAAACAUUACAUCUUGCACUUUAAGUCACGUUAAUUGUAGGUUUUUGCUGGAUGCUUUUUAUCUAAAGUUGAAGGAGUUCCCCUGUAUCCCUAUUUUUCUAAGAGUUUUUAUCAUGAAUGUGUUGAGUUUUGUCACACACGUUUUCUACAUUGAUUGAUGUUACUGUUUUUUUCAUUAGCAAUUAAUGUGAAUUGCACUGAUUGAUUUUUAAAUAUCGAACCAGCCUUUCAUCCCCAGAAUAAACCCACUUUCUUGUGGUGUAUAAUUUUCUUAUGUGUUACCUAACUGCUAGAUUCUACUUACUAAUAUUUUGGUAGGUAUAUUGAUGUCUGUAUGCAUGAGGGAUACUGGUCUGUAGUUUUCUUAAUGCUCUUUUUUUUUUUUUCUUUUGGUUUUCUCUUGCUCAGACUGUGUAAUUUCAAUUGUUUUAUCUUCCAGUUGACUGAUUCUUUCCUCUCCUCUCUCCGUUCUGUCCGUCCACUGAGCUUUUCAGUUCAGCUACCGUAUUUUUCAGUGCUAAAAUUUCCUUUUGGUUCUUUGCCUUUUUUUUUGGCUGAGUGUUUCUACUCUUGUUCCGAGUGUACACAUAAUUGCUUACUGAAGUACUUUUAUUUUGGAAUGAUGAAUGGUUUUCAGUUGGCACCUGGACAUUUUCACAGGUUAGAAGAUUCUGGGUCUUAUUUCAACUUCUUUUAACUGGCUUUUCCUCACGUGACUUGGCAGGGGAAGCGGGGGCAAGACCUCACUACAGCAGGUGGGGGGAGGACCAGGCUGCCCACCCGACCUCCGCUGGUACCGGAAGGAGGCACUCCUUGCUAGUGCAGGCGGGGUGGGAGUUCUGGCUCCCCCCGUGGUCACCACUGAGCGCGGCCACGGCCUUGUUACCAGCCGGCAUGGAUGAAAGUCCCGAUUUCAUACUCGGCCUUCUUUGACGCCUUCCCUCAUCACAGCCUUGAGGGUGGGAGCCACGAACUUCUUCUGAGGUGUUUAGCUGGAGGAGAGUGGGGACUGUGGAGGAGUUGUGUCUCGGUGGGCUGUUCCUUUCUUGGCCUUUCGCUGAGGAGGAUCACGCUCUUGUUGGGGCUUUCUUUGUUGGCUUUCCAGGUUGCCAGCUUCUUGAGCUCCAAAUCUGGGCUCUCUGGAGCAAAAAGAAAACACAGGGAGCUCACUACCAGGUCACUCCUUAAGUCUCGAGGCCCCUGCCCGGUCUGCCUUCUUGCCCUCUUUCAGAGUCGUCUUGCGUUUGUCUGACUAGACUUCCGGGGGUUUGGCUGUUCUCAGCAGACAGAACAGGCAAAAGUACACCUGCUGCAUCUUUCCGGAAACAAGUCCCCUAGAUGAGCCUUGAGCCUGCAAGAUAGCCGGUGUCACAGCCCGUGUCUGUGGCUGUCCUCUGCCGUCCGAGGCUGAGCUGCCUUUGUUCCUCUGUCUUGCUCACCAUGCUUGGCCAGCCCCGUGAUCUUGGCGGACCCUCAGGGACACUUGUGAGUUCAUCGGAUACAGCCGUGCCUUUUUACAGGCACCUGUAAAGUUGAUGGUACUUGGGAUGCCUACUUGACCCGCUCACUCUGAGAGCGAGUCCUGAAGGGGAGUCAGGCUUGUAGGCCACUGCGAGCGGACAGGUCCAGCACCUGCUACGCGGUACGGUCAGGGUCAUUAGUUCAUUUCCCGGAUAGCAAAUAGAUGUCGCCCACAUGGCUGCUUUAUUCCUCUGGCAGUACACCGAAACAAAACGUUUUACGUAUUACUCUUCAUAUUGUAGGUAAAUUCAACUGGAAGGGAACUAUUAAAGCAGUUCUGAAACAGGCCCCGGACAACGAAGUAGCAAUCAAAAAGCUAAGGAAAAAGGUAUGGCGCACAGACGCAGGUGCAGAAGCUGGGGACAGCCACUUCUUUAUUUCAGGAUGUACAGUUCUUGGUUUUCCUAAUCUAAAACACUACAGAUGUGGAUCUCAGUGAUUUUCCAGCGGCUCAGUAGCCCCUCGGGACUGGCGGGGGGCGGGAAUUGGACCCCAUCCCAUCGCACUUCCUUAGCCUGAACGGUGCCUGUGUUAAAUUUGGGAAUUAUUAUUCUUUUUUUUAAUUUUUUUUUUUUUAAUGCUUAUUUUUAUUUUUGAGAGAGAGAGAGACAGAGCGUGAACGGGGGAGGGUCAGAGAGAGAGGGAGACACAGAACCCGAAACAGGCUCCAGGCUCUGAGCUGUCAGCACAGAGCCUGACGUGGGACUCGAACUCAUGGACCGCGAGAUCAUGAGCUGAGCCGAAGUCGGCCGCUCAACCGACAGCCACCCAGGCGCCCCUGGGGAUUACUGUUCUUGAUGUCUUGCCGUCGUUCGCUUAUUCCAGAGCGGUGGUUCCUCUGUGUUUGCUUUUAACUCUGUGUCGACGUGUGACAGGCUGCACGUGCGGGUGCUGCGCAAACAGCUGCGCGAACCCACGAGCAGGACACACCCGUGUCACCGGCACCUGCGUUUCUUUUCUGUUUUACUGUUGGCCUAGUUCUGGGUUAAAGGAAGAACUCUGAGGUACAUUUUCAGGACACAUCACCCACUUGAUGAUUGUUUCUCCCCGUGAAGGUUUUAGCUCAGUAUUACACGGUGACAGAAGAACACCACAGAUCGGAAGAGGAGCUCCUGACCAUCUUUAACAAGAAGAUCAGCAAGAACCCCACCUUCAAGUUAGUAAAGGACAAAGUCAAGCUUUUGAAAUGAACGUUUUUCUACUUAAAAAUUGAAUCCAUUCUGUUGAUUUUUUUCACUGCUGUUUCUAAAACAUGUAAUGAGUUACAACAACUCCAAUAUUGCUUUUUCAAAGCUGUAUUUUUAAGUUACAGAAAAAGUCUAUUUUUGGUAGAACUUUUAUGAGAAAAUAAAAUAUAUUCUUAUCCAAAA